rnacentral:lncRNA from 10 species
AUCACCAGAAGUCAGGGGGCGAAGCGAAUAGCAGAUUCUUUUCAGUAGCAACUGACUCUGCUAACACCUUGGUCUGGAACUUCUAGUGUGUAAAAGUGUGAGACAACACAUUUCUGUUGUUUAAGACACACAAUCUGUGGUACUUUGAUACAGCAGCCCUGACAAACUAAUACAUGGGGUGUCUCAUUGUAGUUUUAAUCAGUAACACCCAUUAUGAACUGAAAACGUCUGCUACUUUUAAGAGAAAGGAUUAUUUGAGGACACCAAGAGGUGACCAUCAGCAAGCCCAGGAGAGAGGCCUCAGAAGAAACCAGACCUGCUGAUUCCUUGAUCUUGAACUUCUAGCCUCC